UGCUAGGCUAUCAUAGAUCCUUGAAAAUGA
rnacentral:piRNA from 1 species